rnacentral:lncRNA from 1 species
AUAACAAAACCUAAUUGACCUAAUCGAGUGAUCAGGUCAAUAACCAUCAAAAUAUGAUUUUGUACGGAUGACCCCUCUAUCAUUCUAGCACAGAAUAACUGCUUAGAUAUCUCAUAUCUAGCAGUCCUACUCUAUUCUCCAUAAAGCUCUUUUAAAUUGAGCAAUAUGGAAUGAGUGUCCAUGCUAUCAUGCUGCCUCUGUAACUCAUUUGUUAUAGAGGCAAGUAUGAUACACUUGGCAGUUAAAGAAUCAUUUUGCCACAUCCUAUAUGUGGUUUUUCUUCCUCUGUGGCAUCCUCCCCAACUGGCUCAAUGUCAGGGAUAUCGAGGAUGUAAGAAAGCUUCUCUUGACUAAGUACUAUUUUAAGAUUUCUCAACCAGUCUACAUAGUUGGUACC